UACGUAGGGUGCGAGCGUUAAUCGGAAUUACUGGGCGUAAAGCGUGCGUAGGCGGUUUUGUAAGGCCGGUGUGAAAUCCCCGGGCUUAACCUGGGAAUGGCAUUUGGGACUGCAAGGCUCGAGUGCGGAAGAGGAGACUGGAAUUCCUGGUGUAGCAGUGAAAUGCGUAGAUAUCAGGAGGAACACCGAUGGCGAAGGCAGGUCUCUGGGCUGACACUGACGCUCAUGCACGAAAGCGUGGGGAGCAAACAGG
rnacentral:rRNA from 1 species